rnacentral:rRNA from 1 species
CCUACGGGGCGCUGCAGUGAGGAAUAUUGGUCAAUGGACGAGAGUCUGAACCAGCCAAGUAGCGUGAAGGAUGACUGCCCUAUGGGUUGUAAACUUCUUUUAUAUGGGAAUAAAAUGUUCCACGUGUGGGAUUUUGUAUGUACCCUAUGAAUAAGGAUCGGCUAACUCCGUGCCAGCAGCCGCGGUAAUACGGAGGAUCCGAGCGUUAUCCGGAUUUAUUGGGUUUAAAGGGAGCGUAGGUGGAUUGUUAAGUCAGUUGUGAAAGUUUGCGGCUCAACCGUAAAAUUGCAGUUGAAACUGGCAGUCUUGAGUACAGUAGAGGUGGGCGGAAUUCGUGGUGUAGCGGUGAAAUGCUUAGAUAUCACGAAGAACUCCGAUUGCGAAGGCAGUUCACUGGACUGCAACUGACACUGAGGCUCGAAAGUGUGGGUAUCAAACAGGAUUAGAUACCCGAGUAGUC